AGUGAACGCUGGCGGUAGGCCUAACACAUGCAAGUCGAACGGCAGCACAGUAAGAGCUUGCUCUUACGGGUGGCGAGUGGCGGACGGGUGAGGAAUACAUCGGAAUCUACUUUUUCGUGUGGGUUCACGUAGGUAAACUUACGCUAAUACCGCAUACGACCUACGGUUGAAAGCAUGGGAUCUUCGGACCUUGCGCGAUUGAAUGAGCCGAUGUCGGAUUAGCUAGUUGGCGGGGUAAAGGCCCACCAAGGCGACGAUCCGUAGCUGGUCUGAGAGGAUGAUAAGCCACACUGGAACUGAGACACGGUCCAGACUCCUACGGGAGGCAGCAGUGGGGAAUAUUGGACAAUGGGCGCAAGCCUGAUCCAGCCAGACCGCGUGGGUGAAGAAGGCCUUCGGGUUGGAAAGACCGUUUGUUGGGAAAGAAAAGCAGCAGGUUAAUACCCAGCUGUUCUGACGGUACCCAAAGAAUAAGCACCGGCUAACUCCGUG
rnacentral:rRNA from 1 species